rnacentral:lncRNA from 1 species
GGUUGAUCGUAAUUUUUCAACUGAUCAAGAACCGGAUGUCGUUCAGACCAGGAUAAUUAGAUUCUAUUUCGAAUCGUUGUGUGCGAGGUAAUUAAUUUCCUCUUCUAUGCCACAGUGUAUUGUCCACUCUCUGUAAUGCUUAUCUUGUAAUCUAAUGCAAUAUAUUGGUGGAUUCAUUACUUAACAUUGAAGCUCCGUCCUGUGUUAUAGCUGGAAGUUUGUUUCCUUUUUCCAUCUAAACCAUUUCGAAGGAUUAUUCUUGACAUCUUUAGCACUACCAUUCAUCUUAUAAUUUGUGAAAGGAAAAUUGGCCGUUUCCUCAACUGCACUUUGAAUUUUAUCAUUAUAAUUUUGCAUUCCUGUUAUGGACAAGUAUCUUUGCUCUAGAAGCAUCCGUGUAUUCGUGUCAAUAUCUGCAUAGAACAGUGAGGAAGGACUGACAGCUUUCCUUUUUAGGGAUGAAACCGAGUUCCCGCUUACAGAUGUGAAAGAGGAUUGCCGUCGUGCUACUUGCUUCUUAAUUACUGCAUCCAUAAAUAUCGAGGGUCGAAAGCUCAUUUUUUAUGCAUUUCAUAUCAGUCUAUCAAAAAUAUUUUUCUGAAAAAUUUCAGGUGAUUCAGUAAUUAGGAUAAAGGGGAUCAUCUUAGUCUCAAGAUGAAGGCUCUAAUUCUCGUUGGAGGGUUUGGUACUCGUUUGAGGCCAUUGACACUUAGGAUGUGUUUGAUUACAUUUAUUUUCCAUGGAAAAUAUCAGUUUUUCACCCAAAUUUCUGUUUGGAGUGUUCGAUUGUUAUUUUUUUCUAUGGAAAACAUUUUCCAACUUUUGAAAAUAUGCCUAAUUUUCCUUGUUUUUAAGGAAAACAUUUUCCUUGGGUAGGGGUGAUUUUUAUUUUCCACAAAAGAUGGAAAACAUUUUCUUUUCUAUGUGAUAUUUUUCAUGCCAGUCAAACACAUUCUUAAUGUCCCCAAGCCACUCGUUGAAUUUGCUAACAAGCCCAUGAUCUUGCAUCAGGUUCCAUUUUCUUGUCUAUUAUUCUUCUAUUAUGCUCAUUAUGCCUACUUCUAUUGAAGUCAGCUCUUCAAUUUGCUAUGCANN